GUUCCUACGGGAGGCAGCAGUCGGGAAUUUUGGGCAAUGGGCGAAAGCCUGACCCAGCAACGCCGCGUGAAGGAUGAAGUAUUUCGGUAUGUAAACUUCGUAAGAAUAGGAAGAAUAAAUGACGGUACUAUUUGUAAGGUCCGGCUAACUACGUGCCAGCAGCCGCGGUAAUACGUAGGGACCAAGCGUUGUUCGGAUUUACUGGGCGUAAAGGGCGCGUAGGCGGCGUGGUAAGUCAGCUGUGAAAUCUCCGAGCUUAACUCGGAACGGUCAGCUGAUACUGCUGUGCUAGAGUACAGAAAGGGCAAUCGGAAUUCUUGGUGUAGCGGUGAAAUGCGUAGAUAUCAAGAGGAACACCUGAGGCGAAGGCGGGUUGCUAGGCUGAUACUGACGCUGAAGCGCGAAAGCUAGGGUAGCAAACGGGAUUAGAUACCCGAGUAGUC
rnacentral:rRNA from 1 species